rnacentral:rRNA from 1 species
CAGGGCAUCCAUGUCUUGUAAUUGGAAUGAAUAGAAUCCGAACCCCUUUAUGAGUAUCAAUUGGAGGGCAAGUCUGGUGCCAGCAGCCGCGGUAAUUCCAGCUCCAAUAGCGUAUAUUAAAGUUGUUGCGGUUAAAAAGCUCGUAGUCGGAUUUCUGCUGAGGUUGAUUGGUCCGCCCUCUGGGCAGGUAUCUGGCUCAACCUUGGCAUUUUCCCAGAGAGCGUGUCUGCACUUGACUGUGUGGUGCGGGGCUUGGGACUUUUACUUUGAGGAAAUUAGAGUGUUUCAAGCAAGCAGUUGCUUUGAAUACAUUAGCAUGGAAUAACAAGAUACAACCUCGGUCCUAUCUUGUUGGUUUCUAGAGCUGAGGUAACGAUUAAUAGGGGUAGUUGGGGGCAUUUGUAUUUAAUUGUCAGAGGUGAAAUUCUUGGAUUUGUUAAAGACUGACUACUGCGAAAGCAUUUGCCAAGGAUGUUUUCAUUGAUCAAGAACGAAAGUUAGGGGAUCGAAGACGAUCAGAUACCGUCCUAGUCUUAACCAUAAACAAUGCCGACUAGAGAUUGAAGGUUGUUAUCAUCAUGACCCCUUCAGCACCUUAUGAGAAAUCAAAGUCUUUGGGUUCCGGGGGGAGUAUGGUCGCAAGGCUGAAACUUAAAGGAAUUGACGGAAGGGCACCACCAGGAGUGGAGCCUGCGGCUUAAUUUGACUCAACACGGGGAAACUUACCAGGUCCAGACAUAGUGAGGAUUGACAGAUUGAUAGCUCUUUCUUGAUUCUGUGGGUGGUGGUGCAUGGCCGUUCUUAGUUGGUGGAGUGAUUUGU